AUCCUUUUGUUUCAGAAGCAUGAUGACUGGGUUUUCACGCUAUUCUAUGAGAUGUGCUUCCCUCAAACUUUGUUACAUCGGCACAUUCCCCUUCUAACA